GGCGAGAUGAUGAUCCUUUCCCCAGAUGAUCGACUAUGAACAUUCUGCGCGCUAUUUUUAUUCUCCCUCUAGGAGAUCAAGCCAGGACUCUGAUCGCC